rnacentral:rRNA from 1 species
AGAGAGAGACAUGCGCGCAUAUCAAUAAGCGGAGGAAAAGAAACUAACUAAGGAUUCCCUCAGUAACGGCGAGUGAAGCGGGAAGAGCUCAAAUUUGAAAUCUUCAAGGUUUUACCUUGACGAAUUGUAGUUUAAAGAAGUGUUUUCUGCUGAAGUUUUGGUAAAAGUUCUUUGGAAUAGGACAUCAUAGAGGGUGAGAAUCCCGUAUUUGACCAUUAUUUUCAGCUUUGUGAUACACUUUCAAAGAGUCGGAUUGUUUGGGAAUGCAGUCCAAAAUGGGUGGUAAAUUUCAUCUAAAGCUAAAUAUUGGCGAGAGACCGAUAGCGAACAAGUACCGUGAGGGAAAGAUGAAAAGAACUUUGAAAAGAGAGUUAAACAGUACGUGAAAUUGUCAAAAGGGAAGCGUUUGACACCAGUGUUGUUUUCUCGAAAAUCAAUUAAAAAUGGCUCGAUUUUGUAUUGUUGAGACCUUAAAAGCUCACUGUACAUUUUUCGUGUCCUUUUUAAUGCACUUUUCGUUUAACAAGUCAACAUCAGUUUCUUUUGUUGUAAAAGGGUCAUUGGAAGGUGGCUUCUUUUCGGAGAAAGUGUUUAUAGCCUUUGGCCUCUGCAAUCGGAGAGACUGAGGUCUGCAGCGUAGACUCUUCGGGGUUAGAUACAUUUGUGCUAAGUUAUAGCUUUUUAUAGACAACUUGUUGACUAUAAUUAGUCUUGUAGCUUACUCGCUUAUGCUAUUUUACCUACGCUUAGGAUGUUGAGUCGUAGAGCACGCAG